AACGUAGGAGACAAGCGUUAUCCGGAAUUACUGGGCGUAAAGCGCGAGUAGGCGGAUCGGCAAGUCCUUUGUGAAAGCUUCUGGCUAAACUGGAAGAGGUCGAAGGAUACUGGCGGUCUAGAGUGGGGUAGAGGGACACGGAAUUCCGGGUGUAGUGGUGAAAUGCGUAGAGAUCCGGAGGAACACCAGUGGCGAAGGCGGUGUCCUGGGCCUCAACUGACGCUAAGGCGCGAAAGCAUGGGGAGCGAAC
rnacentral:rRNA from 1 species